AGAGCGAACGCUGGCGGCAUGCUUAACACAUGCAAGUCGCACGGGCACUUCGGUGUCAGUGGCGGACGGGUGAGUAACGCGUAGGUAUCUAUCCUUGGGUGGGGGACAACGGUUGGAAACGACUGCUAAUACCGCAUGAUAACUGAGGUUUAAAGGCGCAAGUCGCCUGAGGAGGAGCCUGCGUACGAUUAGCUAGUUGGUGGGGUAAAGGCCUACCAAGGCGACGAUCGUUAGCUGGUCUGAGAGGAUGAUCAGCCACAUUGGGACUGAGACACGGCCCAAACUCCUACGGGAGGCAGCAGUGGGGAAUAUUGGACAAUGGGCGAAAGCCUGAUCCAGCAAUGCCGCGUGUGUGAAGAAGGUCUUCGGAUUGUAAAGCACUUUCGACAGGGACGAUGAUGACGGUACCUGUAGAAGAACGCCCGGCUAACUUCGUGCCAGCAGCCGC
rnacentral:rRNA from 1 species